GAUUAACGCUGGCGGCGUGCAUAACACAUGCAAGUCGAACGAUGAAACUUAGUCGACUUCUUCGGAAAGACACUAAGCGGAUUAGUGGCGAACGGGUGAGUAACGCGUGAGUAACCUGCCUUACACAAGGGGAUAGCCUUUGGAAACGAAGAAUAAUACCCUAUAAAACCAUAAAAGCACAUGCUAGAAUGGUCAAAGUGAUAGCGGUGUAAGAUGGACUUGCGUCUGAUUAGCUAGUUGGUGAGAUAAAAGCUCACCAAGGCAACGAUCAGUAGCCGGCUUGAGAGAGUGUACGGCCACAUUGGGACUGAGACACGGCCCAGACUCCUACGGGAGGCAGCAGUGGGGAAUUUUGCACAAUGGGGGAAACCCUGAUGCAGCGACGCCGCGUGAUUUAGAAGGCCUUCGGGUUGUAAAAAUCUUUUGUAUAGGAAGAAAAUGACAGUACUAUACGAAUAAGGUCCGGCUAAUUACGUG
rnacentral:rRNA from 1 species